UACAGAGGGGGCAAGCGUUGUUCGGAAUUACUGGGCGUAAAGGGCGCGUAGGCGGCCUGCUAAGUCGAACGUGAAAUCCCCGAGCUCAACUCGGGAACUGCGUCCGAUACUGACAGGCUUGAAUCCGGGAGAGGGAUGCGGAAUUCCAGGUGUAGCGGUGAAAUGCGUAGAUAUCAGGAGGAACACCUGCGGUGUAGACGGCUUACUGGACCAUCACUGACGCUGAGGCACGAAAGCGUGGGUAGCAAACAGG
rnacentral:rRNA from 1 species